AUGCAUACGCUGGAUGCUACUUUAUUACCAACAAAAGCCAAAAGAAGAAGAAGAAGAAAGGAAUACUACUUUAUCCGUUCAGCACUUGGCGUCGUUUCCAGCUAUAAUCUUUGGUUCGUAUCAUUUGAAAUCACUUUGGGAAAACAGCCUUGGCAGGAAAAGAAGUGGAAUGAUGCUGUUUUGGACAACAGUAGAUGCUUUGCCUGGCCUGCAAGGACCAUUGAUGCACAAGCUCCGAAUCUUAUCUCCUUGCUGCUUUCUGCAAAGCAUCAGAUGCUCUCUCUCGUACUCCACGCGACCUAA
rnacentral:rRNA from 1 species